GCAAGUAAAAGUCGUAACAAGGUUUCCGUAGGUGAACCUGCGGAAGGAUCAUUAAUGAGUUGUCAUGGGGUUCGAUGCUGGCAGCCAGUUUUUGGAUGCAUGUGCUUGCCCUAACAAUCAUCUUCUUCCAAACACCUGUGCACAUUUUUGAGGGAGUCUUGAGUUGGUUGCCGCUCUUGGGUGAUUUUCUCACAUUCCCUUAAAUCAUUAUACGCUAUUAACAAUGUUGAACGUGCUCUGUGCCGCAAGGCCAUUAAUAUAAUACAACUUUUAACAACGGAUCUCUUGGCUCUC
rnacentral:misc_RNA from 1 species